CUUUCCAGCGUCAUCCCUCUCUGCGGUCCACCCUCGGGAGUUCGCAGUUUACGCGCUCACGGAUGAUAAUUCCGCUGCACUUGGACAGCACACUUUUUUUUUUUUUUUUUUUUUUUUUUUUUUUUUUUUUUUAACGAGGAAAGCUGUCUUUAGCAUGUUUUGCUGCAUAAAGAAGGCAGCGCCUGCUCUCAUCCAGCCGCCUCCUCUCCGCCCUUCCCCAACAACCUUACAACCUUAAACCACUACGGUCCUUUCCAGUCAGAUGUUUUGUCACAUUUUCCCCCCUCCCUUCGGAUUCUGUAAACAACCAGCCAAGCAGAGGAAGCGGCCCCCAAAACACGUACCCAAGGAGGGCAAAGGCCGAAAGGCAAGGCCCACCAGCAGCCUGCCCAGCCCCGGGCCGCUCCUGUCUCCCGCUCCCGCAGGCACAGGACGAGUUACCGGAGCGAGUUCGCCUGAGGGCAGGCAGGGCACAGCCAGAGGCUGCUCCCAGGGGCUGGAGCCGACCUUUCCCUCAUUCCAGUGCUCCGCCGCCCUUAUUGUUAUUGUUUACAGAGUACCGGCACUCCGCACUCUGCCUCCAGCUGCAAACUCGAAGGAAGGAAGCCUUUGGUGGGGGAAUGUGGCCACAGCGAGUGGUGCCGACUGAACGCCUGUGCUGGUGCUUGCUGGGCUGUCACAGCUGUUCCCUGAGUGCUCCCCGUCUCCAAAGGCAAGCGUGCUCGGAAAACCAGCACAUCACACACUCAGAAAACAAGUAGUUUCCUCCAGCAGCAGUGUCAUUAAUGCAGCGAGAGCAACUCACUGUGAACACCAGAAGCAGGAACUGUUCUGCAAAGAUACACAUUUCAAAAUCAAUUAAUACUUAAGAAUCCUGUCUUAGAAGGGACAAAAGCCAUGGCAAAGGCAAGUGCACUGCGCUUCACAGCCCCUCCUUUCACUGCCUGCUCCAGCACAUUGCCCUCCCAGCUGCCAGCAGCUGAGGCCUUUAUAUAUUUAGCAAUGAUCCUCUCUUGUCUGUCUUCCAGGAACUUGUCCCAUCUCCCCUUGACCCACAGGAUUCUGUUCUCUGGCAGGAGUUCCCCAGCUCCGCUCCCUCUCCUGGGAGGGAUGGGGAAAGCAGAAGGUGAGGAAUGUGUAUCCACAGGGCUGCUAUUCUCCUCUGAGGCUCAGUGGUAAGGUGGGUUCAUACCAUCUAGUCGUCCACUCCAACCACACUAUCCUUCAGCAUUUUUACCAAGUCCUUUGCAUCUGAGCAGCACCAGCUGGAAACAGCUCCCUCUUUGAGCACGAAGCCUAAUUGUACCAAACACAAGGAAAACAUUUUUUUUUUAAAUCCCAAGUAAACAGUCUGUAUUCUAACACACAACAGGUCUGCACCAAUUAAAUACAGUAUGGCAGUAUAUAAAUUACAGUUCUUUACAGUAAAUAGUAAAAUACGAGAGUCCGCUUACUGUACACAACAAUCAAAGAAAGAACAGCAGCUUUUCAGUAAGGUCCCAGGUAUCUCAGGUAUCUCAAUCAUUCACUUGCUAAGGAACAAAGAAAAGAUACAGCAGGCCAUUCACUUCACUCAUUUUUUACCAUGUUGCUUUACAAAUAUCCAGAACACUUGUACAGGCAUCUACAGUAUCUACAUGUGGAACAACCUUCUUAGGAAUUCAUGAGCACCAGACAUAAAUCCCUCCAUCAUUCCCAUUAUUAAAAUAAACUUUACAGAUUAAAAUUACUUUAGCAGGUUCUAUUUCAUCUUGAUAAUAAACCAGCAAGUAACAAGUGCAAAGUUUGCAGUCAUGAUCCAUUUACUGCUUCUUUAUUUCCCACUUCUCCCCACCCCGCUCCCAAAAAACCCCAAACCCCCUAAAAAACCCAGAAUGUUGUCCUCUCACACCCUUGCACUAAUACUGUUUCUGCAGUCAAACUGCCCGGCUGGCUUUUGCUAAGAUGUGAAAUGCCAGACUCAUAGCUUCAGGCAUCGUCAGUCAUCCCAAUGCCAAGUCAGCACAGUGGCAGGCCUCAAGGAAGACAAAACAUAUGAAGCAGUUGGAUAUUUCAGUGUGCUUAAACACGGAAGGCUGCACGGUGCCCAGUGACUGAAAGGAACAUGGCACCAAGUUACCAGUUAAAACAUUUACAAUAGAAAGAUAUAAACAGCAAAUAUGUCAGUCGAAAACAAGUUCUUUGGUAAUUAAGAACAGCGGUUGGGUUUUUUUAAAGAAUACGGAUUCACAUCCUGGUUUUUCCUCAAUAAAAUAUCUUUUGUUGUUUAAAAUAUAUCUCCCAAGUUGUUGCGUAACAAAUAGUCCAGUACCUCAGUUAUCUACAAUCAGCUUUAACUGUGUUUUAGUGUGCAGCCGUAUCUGCCCACUGGCAGACAAACUAUAGAUACACAUUCAUAUAUAUAUAAUAUAUAUAUUAUUUAUAAAAAAUUAGAGAAUUAAGUCAAGGACUCUAGAGAAUACACAUUCCAUAUGGACAGGUUAAAAUGUACAAUAGCUUCAAAAAUCCGUAAAGUUUUCUACACAGUGAUGCGUGUAGUAAGUGCAAAAAUACUGCGGUUUAGUUAAUCCAAGAUUUCCUGUUUUCCUGUUUCCUAGAAAAAGCAGAAGCCGCUGCAUCUCCUGAAUGGCAGAGGACAUCUCCUCCUGUCUUGGGAGUGGCUGAUGAGCCUUGAAGCACAGAACUUUUCCGUUUCUCUGAAGUGGAAGAUGCCUGAGACCGGGAAGUGCUACUCCAUUUCCUUGCGGGAGCUGGUGCUUUGCUGAGGCGCCCGGGACGAACGAAAACGCCGUGUCGUGGUUUGCAGUGGAAGUACUCUCUGCCUUUCACAAUUCCAUCGUGCUUCCCUUCAAUGGAAAGAAAUGCACAGGAUUAAAUGCUGGUCCUGCCAUUAGCACAUACAACUGAGGUGCUGAAGUGUGAAUAGCUUUGGUUAUCUGUCAAAUAGUCAAGAUUGUUCCUGCUGAGUGACAGAGCCAGAUGCUCGCCAUACACUAGGGAGAGCAAAAUUUGGAAAGAAGGGCUUAAAAUGUGACCAAAAAGAUGAUUUUAUAAAAUAUUGCUUUGUUAACUAACAGUUUAAUAAGCCAAGCAUGUGUUCAUUUUGCAAAAUAAACUGUCCUCAAAACCAA